UACGUAGGGUGCGAGCGUUAAUCGGAAUUACUGGGCGUAAAGCGUGCGCAGGCGGUGAUGUAAGACAGGUGUGAAAUCCCCGGGCUUAACCUGGGAACUGCAUUUGUGACUGCAUCGCUGGAGUGCGGCAGAGGGGGAUGGAAUUCCGCGUGUAGCAGUGAAAUGCGUAGAUAUGCGGAGGAACACCGAUGGUGAAGGCAAGUCCCCUGGGCCUGCACUGACGCUCAUGCACGAAAGCGUGGGGAGCAAACAGG
rnacentral:rRNA from 1 species